rnacentral:tRNA from 11 species
AGUCGAGAUUCAGAGGUCGAGUUCGAACUACGGACCUUCCGUUCAGUAAAUUCACGCUCUAACCACUUGAGCCAUCUCGCC